UACGUAGGGUCCGAGCGUUGUCCGGAAUUACUGGGCGUAAAGAGCUCGUAGGUGGUUUGUCGCGUUGUUCGUGAAAACUCACAGCUUAACUGUGGGCGUGCGGGCGAUACGGGCAGACUGGAGUACUGCAGGGGAGACUGGAAUUCCUGGUGUAGCGGUGAAAUGCGCAGAUAUCAGGAGGAACACCGGUGGCGAAGGCGGGUCUCUGGGCAGUAACUGACGCUGAGGAGCGAAAGCGUGGGUAGCGAACAGG
rnacentral:rRNA from 1 species